rnacentral:rRNA from 1 species
UACGUAGGGUGCAAGCGUUGUCCGGAAUUAUUGGGCGUAAAGAGCUCGUAGGCGGUUUGUCGCGUCGGCUGUGAAAACUCGGGGCUCAACCCCGAGCCUGCAGUCGAUACGGGCAGACUAGAGUGCUGUAGGGGAGACUGGAAUUCCUGGUGUAGCGGUGAAAUGCGCAGAUAUCAGGAGGAACACCGGUGGCGAAGGCGGGUCUCUGGGCAGUAACUGACGCUGAGGAGAGAAAGCGUGGGGAGCGAACAGG